rnacentral:lncRNA from 1 species
AUCACCACUUUGCAGCCCCGAUACAAUAAUUAAUUGUAUACACAAGCAAGGAUCACUUGUGGAUGUCAAAUCACUGAGUAAAAGGAUGUUUGAGAAUAGGAAAUUCAAUCUGACAAUAUUUCCUCCACAUAUUACUUACUAAUUAAUUAUACAGUGGAGAAGGUGCCCUGAUAAGAGCUCUGGUGAAUACCCCUUAUCUAGAUGAUCAGAUUUAGUGUUUCCUGUAACCAGACAGCUAACAUGUUCCUUCUGAUGCAAUGCAGUGAAAAGUACACAGCAUCCUUUGUUCAGACUCUGUCAAAAAUGUUUAACCCGAAUCUGAUAAUCAGAAAACAGACAAGUUAGAACGUAGGGCAUUCUCCACAGCAGCUGACCAGGACUCUUCAAAAAUGAAAAGGUCACAUAAGGCCAAAACCAAAAAGGAAGAGGACCAUUCUAGAUUGGAAUAGACUAAAGAGACAUGACAAUGCAGUGUACCAGCCUUGACUGGACCCGAUUUUUAAAAAUAAUACAGCUGCCAGGACAUUUGGGGAAUAACAAGGGACUUUUGAAUUUGGACUGCAUUUUAAGUGAUUUUACUGAAUCAAUAUUAAAAUUCUUGGGUGUAAAAAAAAAGUAUUAUUAAAAAUAUUUCCAAUCACUUUCUGGCUUUUAAAUUGAAAAAUCCACAUAAAAUAUUUUGUGUAUAAUUUAAUUUUUAUUUAACUACAUAGAAUAAAGUUUUCUAAAGCAGAGUUUUCCAAUAGAAACAUAAUGUGAGCCACAUAGGUAAGCUUAAAUUCUAGUAUCCACAUUUUAAAAAGUAAAAAGAGAUGAAAUUGAUUUUAAUUAAAAUUUUAUUUAAGCCAAUAUAUCCAAAGUUUUAUUUCAACAUAUAAUCAGUAUUAAAAGUUACUAGUGAGACAUUUUACUUUUUUAAAAUUAUUCAUUCUUCAAAAUUCUGUCAGUAUUUUACAUUUAUUGUAAAAUGAAUUGCCCUCAA